AUGCAAAUGAUGAGGUGUGAAUUGUCUGUUGGGCAUAUACGCGAGCUACCCGACGGGUCUUUAAGGGGAAUGGAGCAUCGAAACAUCGGGAUUUUAAAGGGAUUGAAGGGGGUUUUUAUCCUAACGGGUCAAAGACAAGGUAUUUCACCCUGAUGGGUCAAAGUAUCUACAGACUUUCUUAGACGAAAAUACCCCUAUCAGCUACUCCUUACUCCAUUGUUCGUCAGGGUAGCCAAUGGGCAAUGGAUACGAAAGAUGCUUUUUAGUCAUUAAUUCCUUUGUCUAGACCUUCGUGCCAUCUAUAGGGGUAAAAAUGUCUUUUAGUGAGACUAGGUGACACAUAGCGAUCCCUAAUUGGGCAACUUGAAUUAUAGCGUUGCUUCGUUUUUCAUGCUCCUUCGUUCUAUAAUUAGUUCAAUGCCACUCUUACCCUCUCAUUUGCCAUUUUUUUUUACUUUCAAGCACCUAAUUAGAGCUCUUUCCUUCUGUCAGUUUCUUUGGAAGUCACUUGUUGCCUAAAGGAGAAUCAUCGCUUUCAUUUAUUUGUUGCUUACUCCCAUUGGUAGCAACUACGUAAGUCUCUCUUCUUUUCUUUUUGCUUUAUCAUUUCAUUUUUUAUUUUUUAUUUUUGGUUUUGAUAAACAGUUUUUAGUCCUUUGUUUGGGAGUUUGAGCGAGUAGAAUCUUAGUUUCCAUCUGUUGCUUAUAGGUGAGGGAAUGUCAGGAAGUAGUGAAGUGACGAGUGAAUAUUCAUUGUCAGGAUACGAGUAUGUGUCAGAUGACCCGUUUGGCUCUAAGAGGGAGUCGUCGGUAGAUUUGCCAUCUGAGGAGGAGGGGGAAGCUAGUCCGUCGGGACGUGGUCAUAAAAAAGUCAUGCUUCCCUGAAUCUAGUUAGUCAAUGAUUUUCCAGUGAGCAUGACAAAUGAGGUUUUUAGUAGACUCAGACCUCAUUUCUAGAUCCCCAAUGAUAUCCCCAUUAGGAAGGCUAAUAAAGGGGAGACAUGCUAUGCAGGGGAGUCACAUGAGGUUGGCUUUUAUGGGGCAGCCUUUAUCGCGGGGUUGACGCUACCUCUUAGCCAGCUCCAUUGUUAGUUAGCGGAUUACAUGGGUUUAUCUGUCUACCAGAUAGCCCCCAACGCUUGGAGAAUCUUCAUAGGUGCUGAGGUUUUGUGGGAUCAGCUAAGUGGGGGCUAUCGAUCCCUAACUCUUGAAGAAUUCUUCUACUGCUACAAGCCCUAGGAGAUUGCAUAAUCGAAGGGCUUUUACAACUUCAUGUGUCGUUGGAUAACACUAAGGUUGGUGUCUAACAUGCUUGACUCCAACCAUUAGAGGAAGAGUAGGUUCUUUUUAUCCAAGGGGUUUAUUGGGUGUGUAGACCCAACAAAUGGGAUAGUUUAGGUGGUUUCUAUGAUCAUGCCUGGGGGAUUUUGGACAAAUUUGGUAAGUCUUUGGUUGCGUAUUACCUUAACCGUUGGUUUUAUUUAUAUUUUUGUCCAACUAACUUGUUUCUUUUUGCAUUUCAGCCAAAGCUUGCCAGACGAUCACUUCGAAACAAGAAGAUUUCCUUAAGUGGGUGUUGGCCAUUCCUUUUAAACAAAGAUUUUGGAAUACGCUCGUCACUCUAGACAUUCUUCAUGCUUUUUGUGGAGGACCCAUUCCUAAUUUUAAAGCUUGACGACUCGAUUCCUUUUCCUGAAUUCGUAAGUGUUUUCAUUCGUUGGUUCUUUAUGUAGUUUAGAUUUCCUACCUAACUCAUUUUCCACUUCGGUUUCAGAAAUGGAAGCUGGGAAGAACAAGCAAGCUGAGAGAUAAGGAAGGCUGUUGCUCUUCACGCCAAAUUUGGCAGGCCGUCGAUCCCUCUUACGAAGGUUAGCUAGAAGAGAAAGCAACCAACGAAUGCAGGCCAGUUUAGCAAGAAGGUCUAAGGCUCUUCUGACCAUCUGGAUUAAGCGAAGAUGGUCUAAAACAUGCCUGAGCCUCCUUUUCAUGGCGUAGGAAAAGGUUUAAUAACCUCUUAAGGUCCUCCCAUCCACCCUUCUAUCCCUCUACCGGUGAAGAGCAAGGAGUUUGUAGUGGACACGGCCACUCGCUCGUCCAUGAUACUGAUUUAGGCGAGUGCUCAGAGCACGAGGUUGAGGCACUGGGAGAUUUAUGCCUUUUUGAUGUGAUAAGAGCGAGCUAUGGUUUCUUUCUUUGCCUUUCAUUUGUUUGAGUAUGUAGGUUAUUUAGGUGUAACUCUUCUUGUUCGUCUAUUUCCAAGCCUUGGUGAGGAUGAGGGCCUUCCAAAUUAGAUGCACAAUGAGGGAGACGUUGGUUAAGCGCUUGAGGACCUGUCUGGGGGCUGAAGAGGACAAGGUCAAGGGUUACAAAGAGGCCAUCCAUCUCUUGAACACCAUGAAAUAGCAAAAAGAGAAGGUGAGUCAAUUGGAAGGAAGCACCCGUCAGGUUAAGGAGCUAACAAAGGAGAACUCUAACCUAAGGACUGAGUUGACUGCUCUUCAUGAGCAUGUGGACAAGGUCAAGGACGAGGCUAUCACAGAGUUCCAGAUGUCUCAAGCUUACUUUGACGAGAUUAGGAUCCAAUAUGGCAACGGCUUCGAGGACUUUCACAAGCAGGCCAUCCUUUUGUUCCCUGGCAUGGAUUUCUCCCAAGUCCAGAUAAACACCUCAAUCCGAAUGACCCCAUGUUGGUGGUGUACUAGAUGAGGAGGAGGCCGAUCUUCAAGAGGAGGAAGCCGUCAGUCUAGAGGACAAGGGAGCAGACAUACCAGAAGGGAAAGAGACUAAUGAGUAGCCAACCAAGGCCACUGACAACCCCCAAGCUUAAAGUUUUUUCUUUUAUUUUUGUAUGUAAUUUGAAAACAAUAUGGGUGCCUUGUUUUGGGUACAAGUACAUUUUAUGCCCUCAUCAGGUUUUAUAUAAUGCAUUUCUUAUUUCUCAUUUAUUCUUUACAUUGUUUGCACUUUGUUGACUAUGGUGUAUCCGUCGGUUGUGAAUACCUUAUUCUUGAUGAGAGUGCUUUCUAAAAACAAUAGAAAAUGGUGUUUGCACUUGUCUGUUUUAGCUUAGGCCAUAGCCUGAGCAUUUGUCGGGUUCACUUGAAGUGAGGGUGCUCUUUCAUAAAAUUUAACAAAAAUGUUAAGUGUUUGUGCCCGUUGGUUUUAGCUUAGGCCAUAGCCUGAGUGCUCUUUCAUAAGAUUAGGCUGAUAACUUAACAAGAUGACUUUUAUUUUGACAGUAGACUAGACAUUCGUCGCUAUGUUGGUUCCUUUGUUCGAUUAGCAACUGAGGCUUAGAUGAAAAUGCCCGUUGGUACCUUUGGCCGUAAGGUUAGGCAGAGGUAGGUAAGUGAUCAAGCACCCAUCAAUACCAUCAAUCGUCAAUCCACCUUGUGGGUGGGACUUAGAGUUUUUGAGUGAUCAGGCACCUGUUGGUGUGCUUGGUUGUUGGUCCACCCCGUAGGUCGGAUUUAGAAUAUGAGUGAGUGACUAGGCACUCGUCGGUAUCCUUGGUUGUCAAUUCACCCUACGAUGGAACUUCGAAUUUUCAUAAGUGACCAUGCACCUAUCGGUGUCCUUGGUUGUUGAUCCACCCUGUAGGUAGGAUUUAGAAUAUAAGUGAGUGACGACUUAGAAUAAAAGUGAUAGGCACUUGUCGGUGUCCUUGGUCAUUAGUCUACCCUGUAGGUAGGACUUGAAAUUUUUUGUAAAUGACUAGGCACCCGUUGGUGUCCUUGGUUGUUGGUCUGCCCUGAAGGUAGGAUUUAGAAAAUUUAUAAAUGACCAGGCACCCGUUGGUGUCCUUAGCCGUCAAUCCACCCCGUAGGUAGGACUUAAGAUUUUUAUAGCUUUUCCUUGUUGAAAGCAGAUAAUUCUUCAAGAAUAAUUCCUCUUAUUAAAAAUAAUCCUAAUAUAUGAAAAAUGUAGAUAAAUUUCCCGAUGGGCCUUUGGAGUUUACUUAGCAAAAAUUGAACUGAAAAACUUAAUAGUCUACUUAACGAAAUUUAAAGGAAAAGCGAUGACAUAGUUUGUAAUUUAUGCACUACUGGUAGUAUCUUCUCAAGUGAUCGAUGUUUCAAGGGUGAUGGAAACUUUGUCCGUCGAGCGUUUCUAGGUGGUAGGUGCCCCUUCUAUAGCAGUUUAUGAUCCGAUAGGGUCCUUCCUAAUUGGAGCCUAUCUUGCCAUGUGUGGGAUCUUUGAUGGCUAUUGUUAUCUUCCUUAGGACGAGGUCCCCAACAUCAAAGUGCCGAGGCUCGACCUUGGUGUUGUAACGCUUGGCCAUUAGGUCCUGGUAGCAAGUCAUCUGUUGUUCAACCAUCGCCCUGAAUUUAUCUAGUAGAUCUAAUUGUAGGCGUAUUCCUUCUUCGUUCCUCGCUUCAUCAUGGUGAGCUAUCCUGUAGCUAGUAAGCCCUACUUCUGCUUAAAUAACAGCUUCAUUUUCAAAUGCAAGGCAGAAUGGUGUUUCACCUGUGGGUGUUUAGGCCGUUGUCCUAUAUGCCUACAAGAUGCUUGGUAGUUUGUUUGGCCAUAUCCCUUUUACCUCCUCAAGUCGAGUCUUGAUUAUCUUGAGCAAGGAUCGGUUUGUAACCUCAACCUGUCCAUUGGCCUAUGGGUGAGCAGGUGAAGAGUAGUGGUUUUCUGAUCCCUAGCUAUUGGCAGAAGUCUUUGAAUGCGUCUUUGUCAAAUUGCUUUCCAUUGUUAAGAGACAAAAACUCUAGGGAUCCCUAAGCGGCAAACAAUGCUUUUCUAGACGAAACUUUGGACAUUCUUCAUGGUGAAAGUAGCCAAGGGUUUAGCCUUUACCCAUUUGGUGAAGUAAUCAAUUCUUACAACAAGAAACUUGAGUUGCUGUAUCGCUGUAGGGAAGGGUCCCAUGAUUUCGAGUCCCCACUAAGCGAUGGGAUAUGGAGCAUUCAUCGGAGUGAGCUGUCUCGAUGGCUGCCAUAUAAUGUUGCUGAAGUGUUGGCAUUUGUCACACGCUUUCACAUAGAAUUGGGUGUCUUUCUACGUUGUAUGCGUACGCAGGCUCGAAGUAUGCGUACGCAUACAACGUAGGCCUAUGUAUGCGGACGCAUACUUGUGACAAAAAACCCUAAUUUUGAGCUUUCUACUUCUUUUGCCUUGUUUGUUUUACAUCAUAUGCCUUUGUUUUAACCUUUUGAUAUGCUUUUGAGUCCCUGCUUCCCUGUUUAUGUGUUUGAUUGUCUCUAAUAUGCUAGAUUAGAGUUUUCCUUUUAUUUUCUUGUUUUAAUACCAUGAACAUGCAUUCACAUGCCCAUUCAUUAAGGCCAUAGGUGCUGAGAUGCAGCAAGGUAAGUGAGGUAAGUCAUGCAUUAGUAUGAACAUGCAUUUUAAUGAUGUAAUGUUUUUGUUUGAUGUUUGAUCUCAUGUGAUGAUCUAUGUUUGUUUGCCAUGCCUAUCUUUUUGCCUUGUAUGAACAUGCAUUUUAAUGAUGUAAUGUUUUUGUUUGAUGCUUGAUCUCAUGUGAUGAUCUAUGUUUGUUUACCAUGCUAGAUGAAUGUUAAGGUUUAUGAUGUGACGAUAUGCAUGAUUAGAUGUAUGCUAGGGUUUGUGAUGUGAUGACAAGCAUGAUAGAUGUAUGGUUAGGGAUGUUUAAUGCCAUGUUGAUUGUUAGAUGAAUGCUAGCAUAUGUGUGAGUUUAGAAUAACAAUAUUGAAUGUGUCUUUAAUGAGAUUAAGAUAUAAGACACAAUAAGAGGAAGCCAACCUUAAGGUUGGGCAAUUUUGGGUGCCUAACAUCUUCCCAAGACCGUACCUUAACUUCUAACCCAUAUCUCUAGUAGUAAGAUCAAUAGUCAUUUCUUGAAAGGACGCUAUAUUCAUGGUUUCUAGGCCAUUGCUAAAACUAGGUGGCGACUCCUCGUUGUGUCCACACCCAGCAUGCUCAACUGUCGGUAUGAUCAUCCAUUCGUCGGUAUGCAAAUGACAAGGUGUGAAUCGUUCGUCGGGCAUAUACGCGAGCUACCCAUUAGGUAUUUAAAGGGAGUGAAGCAUCAAAAUGAUGGGAUUUUAAAAGGAUUGAAGGGGGAGUUUAUCCUGAUGGGUCCUUGGUUGGUAGGUCCCAUUGGAGGAAGUUUUUAUCCUGACGGGUCAAAGUGCUCACAGACUUUCUUAGAUGAAAAUACCCCUAUCACUAUCAAUCUCUAAGCCCUCUCGCCAUUGAUUCUCCUAGCAAGCUGGAUAUCCUUGGGCAUAAUAUAAUAGUAACCUUCUUGUCAAUAACUGACAUAGUGGUUAAUUCUGUGUAUUUAACCCUAAAGCUAUUAGAGGUGUCAAUAGUAGAGUGUAUUUGGCAUUGAGAAAAUUCUGUGUAAUUCUCUAGGCUUGUAAAGAGAUUUCCUUUUGUAUUGGAGAUUAAGUAAUAAAGGUUGUGGGUGGGUUUCCUGUAAAUAUUGUGUGUGUAUAGGUCUCUAUAUAUAAUCUGUUCUAAGUGUUAUUGCAGUGUAUGGUGUUGGCUGAGACUAAGUCAGAGACUUAAGGCCAUCACAAGUAGAAAAUUUGAGUGAAAAUUUGACCCCUAGCUCUGAUACCAAUUGUCACAGGAUCAAAUUUUCCUCUAUCAGCAUCUGCAUCAUCUUCCACUAGGCUUAUUGUACUUGUAGUCCACUAAGGUAUCUGUAGUAAACAUAGCAGCGGGCAAAUCAUGCACUGCCUACCUCUUUAACUUCAACUGUGCCCAAGGUUGCAAGCCAAAUAUGAAAUUGAACAGCUUGUCUUCUACUGAUAUGUUCUUGAUAUCCAUCAUCAAAGAACUGAAUGUCUUAACAUAUUCUUUCACUGUACCAGUGUGUUUCAAUUUCUUCAAGAAGUCUCUUGCAACCCAGGCACUAGAGCCACACUUUACAUCACUACUUUGGAAUCGUAGAUCGGUCUCUCUCUCUCUCUCUCUCUCUCUCUCUCUCCUCUGAACUUAUCAUCGAGUCUCAUAACCUCUAAGCUUCUUCCAUCGUUUUUUCAUUUAACCAGGUAACUUGUUCUGGCAGGUGGCAAAUGAGGUUAGUUGCUCGGAGUUAGAGACGAAUCCAAAGGGUUCUUCUUUAAAAAGAUUCCCUAUGAUUGUUAAAAUUAUUUUUAAAUGAUUGAAUUAACCAUUUCUUAAACUUUUAGGAGAAUUCAUAAUUUAACAAUGUUAUUUAAAAAAAAAAAAAAAAACUUCUUAUAUAAGACAAAGAAGCGGAUUCAUCAGAAGGGGGCCAUGGUAGUGGUAUUAAUGGAAACGAUGCUCUGCCGAAUUGACAUUUGAGAGGGGAUGCCACAGCGAAAUCGGCUGCUGCACUUUCGUUUCCAGAAGUGGAUAAGGUCUUAGCUUUAUGCCUCUAUUCAACGAUCUUAUAAGAAGUUGGUUGAACUUUUGAACCAAGUACGCUUUUUUGGAUAUUGAACAUGGACUUCAAAGAAAAAAGAAAAAAGAAAUAAUUAAUAAUUAAUUGUUUCUGUGGUUUCAUUAUUUAUUUAUUGUUUCAUACUGCUUGAAGAUUGAUGGAAGACUGUACAAUCUCAAGGAGAAGGUGUCUGUUCAAGACAGAAGCACUGCAAGACACUUGUUGAGGUAAGGCAUCAGUCUGUUGGUUUUUAAUAUUUUGUGAAAUAUUAUGAAUGCUAGAUUCCAAAAAGACCAGAUAGACGGUGUUUGUGAAACAUCCAAAGUAGUGAAAAUUUCUUUACAUUUUGGAUAUUUGGGAACCUGCCUUUUUGUUUGGGGAAAAAUUAAGGAGGGGGGAAUUGCAUGUUAUUGUCCUUUUCUAUAGUUUUCACAAUACUGGUUCAGGACCAUGAGUAUGGGAUUGGGAUUGAUGCUUCUUGUGUCGUGUUUCAUUAGAACUGAAUUAAUGUGAUCUGGCAUGUUGUCUUUAUUAAUGUUUUUCAACUCAUUGGAAAAGUGGGAACAUGUGAGUCACUAAAAUACUCUGGAUGCUAGUGCCUUUGAUGAAUUUGAAUCUGAAAAUGGAGUUGCAUACAAUAACUAUACAUCUCAUUUCAGCUGGAAAAAGGAGUGGAUGACUUGUUUGGUAGCUUUGCAAGGUUGGAUUCACGUAAUUCAAGUGUCGGACUUACUGCUGCCAAGAUAGAUCACUUGCAGGUAAAGUUUUCCUAUGCUUUACUGCCAUAAGCCCCUGAUCCCUGCUCUGAAUAUAAUUGUCACCAUCUCCAUUGAAACUUGGUUAUUGUAGGUUUUCAUUUAUAUGUUAUUUUCUUGUUAUAGUGUAGAUGCACAGCGAGAAACUGUUAGUCAAACAAUAGAGCUGAUAAAUUGCAUUUGGUAAUUGGUCAUUUAGUUUAUGCUACCCUUUGUUUAAGAUUCACUAACUCCAGGUUAUUAAUUUAAUUCUUGAAAUACUUGAUGGAGUUCAAUAGCAGCCCAGGAGACCUAAUGGAACUUUCACCUCUAUUUUCUGAUGACAGCUAUGUUGCUGGGCUGCUUCAAUUGUACAAAAAUUGCGUAAGAUGGCCUCACUUUUCUAUAAAUUUAUAUUUUGACACAUUUUCAUGGCCAGCUUCUUAUUGGUUUGCAUAAACAUGAUGGUGUUGAUGUUCUCUCACUUAAACAGCCUUUUGUGAACUAUUCAUGAAUCAUUCUUGUGAGGCCCUUUCAACCAAAGCCAAAAAGAAUGUUAAGAUUUUUUUUUUUUUUUUUUUAAUGAGUUUUCACCCAUGUCAAAAGUUGUGCUUUCUGAGGGGUGCCUUGGGGGGAGCCGGGGAGGUUGGGGGGGCAUUGGAUAUCUUUUUGAUGGAAGGAAGAAUUUUUAGUAUAAACAUAUAGCCAAAAAAGCUUGAGAAAAAUAGUUUGAACUUCUUUGCAAAUGUGAGAAGAGCAUUGAAGACUAAGGAAGGUUCAAUGGAAAAUUUUAUGAUAUAAAAAAAAUUAAAUAAUCUAAAGUUUCUCUUUAUUGAGAAAGAUUAGAGAUGAAUGUGUAGAGGUGAUUAUGAGUUUGGAAGCUAUACCCAUGAAGGAUUCUUUUAUGUUCACGCCAGGGAACAGACGACAGUUACACUGCAUGAGUGUUAGAAAAGUUUCCAAUAAGGUUGUGUCGUAUAUGAAUUAUCUGUGCUAAUAUUUUGAGGCUUUGCAAAGGAGAGGAAGUUAUUCCCUCCCCUCUACUUGUGUUCAAAUGAGUUCAAGCAUGCAUUUGCUGAAAUAAGCAUGUGUGAUGGACAUUAGUACGAACCAAAGUUUUUAUAGUUGAAGAAUAAGAUAAUUAUGUGACCCAUUUUUGUUCACAAUUAGCAAAUUUACUGAAUUCUAGACAAAUAGAUUGCCUCGACACAGUAAAGAAUGAAUGCUAACAACUAGUUUAAAUUUCUACACAGCAUGAUUAGUGUGAAUAUAAAGCAUCAUAAUUGCAUUAAUCUAUUUACCUUGUUGGUUGUUUUCCAGCAACAUUUUCUGUAAAUAUAUGAUAUUCUUCCACUUUUCUUUCUUUUUGGGGGCUGGACUCAAAAUUUUGAAGUGCUAAUAUAUUUAUUAUUAACAUCUUCAUUCGAAUAUCAUUUUGUUAUUUUAGGGAAACCACUUGCAUAAAGGGCUGCAUAAUCAUUGGCAGAAGUUCACUUUUAAUCCCAGUUUACUGGCUUGGCUCAAAUGUUUUAUGCCCUGCUUUUUUUUCCCUUUUUCUUGAAAGUUGCGUAUGAUUGACAUGGCCAAUGGUUGUUAUUCUUUAUGAUAUAAGCUGUGGCUUUAUCUUGUGACAGAGAAUCUGUUAGCUUAUUGUGCGCAGAUGUUGGCAGAAAGUUUAUUCCUUCAUAUUGAGAAGUAUGAAGUAAUUGAUUAUCUAAAAAGGAUGAAAACCUUUUUCAACAAAGAAAUUCGAAGAAAAGGAUUUAAAAAUACACAGAAAAGUAUUACCCUUUUAAGCCGUAUUUCUUUUCCCUCUCUAAAGUGAAAAUUUUGAGUUUUCUUGUUACUUCUGUUCGUGGUAUCUAGAAUUGGCAGUGACUCAAUCUUUGGGUUUUGUUUCAGCAUUUCUUAUGUGGUUCUUUUUUAAAGGUCUGCCUGAUCCACCAAUAAUUCAGUGACUUCAUUGAUCAUCUUUCUUUGUGGAUUAUAUUGUUUGGUGAACUGUUGUUAGCAAAAGCAUAGAAAUAAAAUUUUGGCGAACUGUGCUAUUUCUUGUUGUUUCUAUUCCAUUCUUUUUAUAUUGAUUUUUCUUGUCUGAUUUUUUCCUUCACGCGAAUGUGAAAUCACUUGUUUUUGCAGUGGCAGACUGCACUAAGUGUGACAUAACUGAGUAUCGAGAAUUUGUGUGCAGUUUUGAUGCUCCUAUUGAUGAAAAUUUUGAAUUUCUGGGCAUGUAAGUUGCAAAAGGCUUGUGCCAUUUUCAAUUUCUAUACAAUUUUCUAUCUCAAUUUACUGAUGAAUUUUUGUAUUCAGCAUGGCAAAUAUCUUCAUUGUUGCUCCAAAACCUCUCAACUCUAUUUGAGGGUACCCCCAGGCCCUAAUAUCCAAUGAUGCACUUUGUAUUAUUGAGUACAUGAUAAACUGCAAUUUUGUGACUCAUAUACACUAGAAAUGGAUUUAAUUUUUUUUUUUGUUUUUGUUUUUUGGUUUUCGUUUUACCAAGAAGGACAAAUUCCUUUUCCAUUAAAUUCCAAGCAUGGUUUACGAAUGGUAGAAAAUGUUCAAAUUUUCUUUUUUUUUUUUUUUUUUUUUUUUUUUUUUUUCACAUUUUUUAAACACAUCUCGGAAGAAAGUGCAUUUUAACACAUUUCACAAGAACACUUUGUUUCAAGUUUAUGCACAUUCUCUGCCAGGUGGUGAGUCUUACAACGAAGGUGCCUGUUUUUAAUGAUGAAAUUUUGGUUCAUCUGCCAACUCAGGUUUAUUCAGCUUAGAAAAGACCGCAAGAGUGCAGCUAGACUUAGUUCCUUGUGGCCAAGCUCGAGUUGA
rnacentral:sRNA from 1 species